UUUCUUUGGUAUAGUUGUAGAUUACUGUUUGGUUUGGAAUGUCAAACCAUUAAUGGAUUUAAAUGUUGCAAGGUUAGCACCUUCGUAGUGCCUACUUCCUCUCCAAGUUGCUGUUUCCCUAUAUUAUAAUUUUGAACUAUAAUUAAACCUUGAGCUUACAUCAUAAAUCUGAAUUCCCGUAAGUAAAUCUACAAAAUUCUUCAAUUGGUUGAAUUACUAUUUUAUGCAUGUCUAAGCAACAU